UGGGGAAUAUUGCACAAUGGGCGCAAGCCUGAUGCAGCCAUGCCGCGUGUAUGAAGAAGGCCUUCGGGUUGUAAAGUACUUUCAGCGGGGAGGAAGGGAGUAAAGUUAAUACCUUUGCUCAUUGACGUUACCCGCAGAAGAAGCACCGGCUAACUCCGUGCCAGCAGCCGCGGUAAUACGGAGGGUGCAAGCGUUAAUCGGAAUUACUGGGCGUAAAGUGCACGCAGGCGGUUGAUUGAGUCAGAUGUGAAAUCCCCGGGCUUAACCCGGGAAUUGCAUCUGAUACUGGUCAGCUAGAGUCUUGUAGAGGGGGGUAGAAUUCCAUGUGUAGCGGUGAAAUGCGUAGAGAUGUGGAGGAAUACCGGUGGCGAAGGCGGCCCCCUGGACAAAGACUGACGCUCAGGUGCGAAAGCGUGGGGAGCAAACAGG
rnacentral:rRNA from 1 species